GCAGUCAGGAGGCAGAGGCAUGCGCAUCUCUGAGUUUGAGGCAAGCUUGGUCUACCUCACAGGACAGCCAAGGCUACAUAGUAAAACCCUGUCUCAAAAACCAAAACAAAACAAUUCUUUGGUUUCAGAAAGAUAACUAUUUAAAGAUUACAGUAAAACUCCUCAAUACUCACUUAAGGUUUUCUUAUUCAUUCAUGAAGGCAAGCCCGGUGUGCUGGCUCAUUCCUGUGGAUUCACAUCAUUGCUUUUAUGUCUGGCCAUGAACUAGGUUGUUUUAUGACAAACCACCUGUAAAACAAAGUGGUCCUGUGAGAUGGCUCAGCAGGUUCACCGUGGUGCCUGCCAUCAGACCUGAUGGCCUGUUUUAUUCUUGGCCACUUGUCCUCUGACUACCACACGUGUCCCAUGGCAUAUAUGCUAGUACACACAUGAAAUGAAACAAAUACAAAGGUUUUUCUUUUGGGGGGUGGUGGUGGCAAGACAGGGUUUCUCUGUAUAGCCCUGGCUGUCCUGGAACUUACUCUGUAGACCAGGCUGGCCUUGAACUCAGAAAUCCACCUGCCUCUGCCUCCCCAGUACUGGGAUUAAAGGUGUGGGUCACCCACCUUCCAGCUCAAAUACAAAGUUCUUAAAAAUUGAAACAUUAAAGUUUCUACUGAUUGUGUUUAUUCCUAGCCCAUGCAUUGUGAGGAGUUAGGGUUUUCUUUUUUUUUUUUUUUUUUUUUUUUGAUUUAUUUAUUAUUAUAUCUAAGUACACUGUAGCUGUCCUCAGACACACCAGAAGAGGGCAUCAGAUCUCAUUACGGAUGGUUGUGAGCCACCAUGUGGUUGCUGGGAUUUGAACUUCGGACCUUCGGAAGAGCAGUCGGUGCUCUUAACCACUAAGCCAUCUCUCCAGCCCCUAGGGUUUUCUUUAGAUUAGUAAAAGCACUAUGUAUUAAUCACAACAAUUAAUAUAAAAACCAUUUUCCAGUCCGUGUUUCUUCCACCUGCCUGUCUGCAGGCCAGAAGUAUUGUUCACUUCUCUUGGCUCAGUGUUCAGUGCCCGUGCUGCUCAUUGAUGCUUUUUAGACAUUUUGUGCAGUUAAAAUAGAAAUGUCUAAAACAAAUGGGUGCAUCUUAUAUUCUGAAAGUAAUUUCUUUGAGAUAUAAGGAGAGAUAAUGGAAUAAAUAGAAUGUCCAAUUGGAAAUACAGGUAUGUAGGACUUCUUUCUCAGUGAAGUAUUUUGGGGAAAAGUGAAUAAGAGUUCUCUGUGGAGGGCUGGGGAUGCAGCCCGGUGGUAGAACAUUUGCCCAUCAUGCACAAAACCCUAGAACUGUCUCUAACACUGCAAUUAAAACACCAAAGAAUAGUGUCUGAAGACAUGGUUUGUCAGUUAAGAGCACUGGCUGCUCUUUCAGAAGAUCUACAUUUGAUUCCUUGCACCCACAUGGCAGCUGUCUGUAACUCCAGUUCCAGGGAUUUAGUUCCUUGUUCUAAGGCUGAAGGCUGGGGCAACCAUCCCUCUCUUUUCUUUUGAGAGAGCCUUGGCUGAACAGCAUCUCAUUAUGUAGAUAGAUUAGGUUUGCCUAAUUGUGUGUUGACAUUUGCCUGCCUCUGCCUCCUGAGGAGAUUACAGAUAUGCAUUAUAACUCUCAACUUGAUGCCUCCUCCUGAGCUCUACUGACAGCAGACAGGUGGUAGACAAUCAUACAUUGAAACAAAAUACCCAUCUGU
rnacentral:lncRNA from 1 species